UUUGCUAUGCAAGCUAGUUAGGUGGUUUGAUGGUGCUUUCACUUGUUUUUCAGCAAAAUGCUUUUCCUGUGUGUGUGUGUGUGUGUGUGUGUGUGAGAGAGAGAGAGAGAGAGAGAGAGAGAGAGAGAGGUUCAAAUUGAGCUGGUCAAGAUUGAGUGUUUGUGUUAUGUGGACAAAGAUAAAUACAUUGUAUGAAAAACAAGCUUCAUAUAUUAAUGUGUGAUUAAUAAGGAUGUGAUCUUUUUCUAUUUUAUUAUUACCAGCCAAUGAAGUGAAAACCAGAGCAGCUUCUUUUAGAACCCAAUAUGGAAAGCUUCUCAAACCUAAACCUAGUGGCAGUGGUCAGAAACCUCUAACAUCAAAACAACAAUGGAUUCUCACUCAUCUAGACUUUCUGAAGCCCCAUGUGACGCACAGAACCACAGCCACAACACUGGCACUUGACACUGUGGAGUGUGAGGACAUCGAAGGUAUAGAGGAGGAGCAGGAGCAGGAUGCAGACAUAACUGUUGACUGGGACAUAAGGUCAUUCCUGCCGUCACCCAUUACCUCUACAUCUGGAACCCCUUCACCUGGGACCCCUUUAUCAGCAUCAGGCCAGUCCUCUAGAUGUUCAACCCCUUUUCCAGAGGGAGAAACAUCAUUAUCUGCAUCUACAUUAUGUGUUGAAGAUGGUUCAAAAAUACCCCGCACCAGCAAGACCAAGGUCAGGUCCUCUGAUACAACCAACAUUGAACUUUUAAAGAUGUCUCUUUUGAAACAGAUUCAGUGUACCCUUUCUUCAGCUGAUAACAGUGAGGAUGUAUUUGGUCAACAAGUGGCAAGUGAGCUAAAAAAAAUAAUUUGUAAAUGAUUGUUUUCUGAGAACACAGGAACCAAAGACAAGAACCAAAAUAUACAAAAUGCACAAUGUACAAUCUAUGUCUACAGGAAAAAAAAAUUACAACACUGUUCUGCUGAGCAGCUGAUUUUAGUAGUAGUAGAAUUUUAAUAGUACCCAGAUGGCCUUCAACAGUUAAGGCCUCUUUCUAGCCAAUAAGUUACACCAUACUGUCUUGCCAUGAAAUGCUCCCAGCAGGUGAAACAAAGUACUGAUAAAGUGCAUCCCUUUGCUGCAACAGAAGGGUUUCUUGCUCUCCCCAUGGAUGCAGGCUGGAGUGCACCUUCUCUCCUC
rnacentral:lncRNA from 1 species